rnacentral:rRNA from 1 species
UACGUAGGGACCAAGCGUUGUUCGGAUUUACUGGGCGUAAAGGGCGCGUAGGCGGCGUGGUAAGUCACUUGUGAAAUCUCUGAGCUUAACUCAGAACGGCCAAGUGAUACUGCUGUGCUAGAGUGCAGAAGGGGCAAUCGGAAUUCUUGGUGUAGCGGUGAAAUGCAUAGAUAGUAUCCAGAACCCCGAUUGCGAAGGCAGCUGCCUAGACUGUAACUGACGCUGAGGCACGAAAGCGUGGGGAGCGAACAGG